CGCGCGGACCGGGCCCCUCUGGCGAGUUUCUCUCGUGAUGUCGGACGCAUUG
rfam:Altererythrobacter namhicola strain JCM 16345, complete genome.